GAGUGGGUGAUGCAUUAAGAAAAGUUACCCAACCUAAAUGCAGGUGGGGCAUUGAUGGAGAUGAUUAGCAUACCCGUGAAAUGAAAAAAAGGAGAGAUAUAUCAUGUCCUUCAACAGGUUUUAAAAACAGAGUCCAUAACCCAUCACCUUUCCUACCUUUAUCCAUUUCAAACUCUUAGCUUCUUCCAUUUUUCAAUUUUCAAUCCUCAAUCUUCAUUCAGUUGUAGUCUGCAGGACCCAAAGAAUGGAGAGUGGACAAAUGGUCAACAAGGGCAUGAAGGUAGAGAAUCCAUCAGAGACUGAAAGCAUGUCCAGUGGUGGCACAAAGUUUACUUCGGGGUUUCAAAGACAGACAAGCGCUUCAAAGAGUAAUUGCUUAUGCUCUCCAACCUCCCAUGCUGGUUCUUUCCGGUGCAGGUUACACCGUUCCCCGAGCCUUCAACGAACCAAAAGCAUUGACUCUGCAUCUCUGAGAGACUCAGAAACUAAUAUCAACACGACAGCUGAUGAUACUAGUAAUGCACACAAUUGAGUCCCAGUAAUUCACAUGAACUUAUUGAAUGUAAUGUAAGUGUGCUAGCUGUUGCUACCUGCUGUUGUUUGCCAGCAUUUAUAAUGGUCUUGGAGUUGUACAUCUGCUAUUUUUUUUGUAUUUGUUUCCUCUUGUUUAAGUAAAAUGUUACCUAUUUCUCUCUUUCGCUUCUCUCCUUCA